CACGUAGGGGGCGAGCGUUGUCCGGAUUUAUUGGGCGUAAAGAGCUCGUAGGCGGCUCAGUAAGUCGGGUGUGAAAACUCCAGGCUCAACCUGGAGACGCCACCUGAUACUGCUGUGGCUAGAGUCCGGUAGGGGAGACUGGAAUUCCUGGUGUAGCGGUGAAAUGCGCAGAUAUCAGGAGGAACACCGGUGGCGAAGGCGGGUCUCUGGGCCGAUACUGACGCUGAGGAGCGAAAGCGUGGGGAGCGAACAGG
rnacentral:rRNA from 1 species